rnacentral:rRNA from 1 species
GAGAGUUUGAUCCUGGCUCAGGACGAACGCUGGCGGCGUGCUUAACACAUGCAAGUCGAACGGAAAGGCCCCUUCGGGGGUACUCGAGUGGCGAACGGGUGAGUAACACGUGGGUGAUCUGCCCUGCACUUUGGGAUAAGCCUGGGAAACUGGGUCUAAUACCGAAUAGGACCGCAUGCUGCAUGGUGUGUGGUGGAAAGCUUUUGCGGUGUGGGAUGGGCCCGCGGCCUAUCAGCUUGUUGGUGGGGUAAUGGCCUACCAAGGCGACGACGGGUAGCCGGCCUGAGAGGGUGUCCGGCCACACUGGGACUGAGAUACGGCCCAGACUCCUACGGGAGGCAGCAGUGGGGAAUAUUGCACAAUGGGCGCAAGCCUGAUGCAGCGACGCCGCGUGGGGGAUGACGGCCUUCGGGUUGUAAACCUCUUUCAGUAUCGGCGAAGCUCCAAGGUUUUCUUUGGGGUGACGGUAGGUACAGAAGAAGCACCGGCCAACUACGUGCCAGCAGCCGCGGUAAUACGUAGGGUGCGAGCGUUGUCCGGAAUUACUGGGCGUAAAGAGCUCGUAGGUGGUUUGUCACGUUGUCCGUGAAAACUCACAGCUUAACUGUGGGCGUGCGGGCGAUACGGGCAGACUGGAGUACUGUAGGGGAGACUGGAAUUCCUGGUGUAGCGGNGGAAUGCGCAGAUAUCAGGAGGAACACCGGUGGCGAAGGCGGGUCUCUGGGCAGUAACUGACGCUGAGGAGCGAAAGCGUGGGGAGCGAACAGGAUUAGAUACCCUGGUAGUCCACGCCGUAAACGGUGGGUACUAGGUGUGGGUUUCCUUCCUUUAGGGAUCCGUGCCGUAGCUAACGCAUUAAGUACCCCGCCUGGGGAGUACGGCCGCAAGGCUAAAACUCAAAGGAAUUGACGGGGGCCCGCACAAGCGGCGGAGCAUGUGGAUUAAUUCGAUGCAACGCGAAGAACCUUACCUGGGUUUGACAUGCACAGGACGCCGGUAGAGAUAUCGGUUCCCUUGUGGCCUGUGUGCA